rnacentral:lncRNA from 1 species
GAGAUGUAUUCAAAUACAGACACUAAAUAGAGCAUAUGCUAGAACCAUCUAAUAGUCAGUCAUGAAUGGUUCUAGUUAGUGAAAUUUCUGUGACCACUAUCUUAUUUAAUUUCCCAUUUGACUCCUAACAAUUUGUUUUAGAAAUUUUAUGUAUACAACUAAAUUCUAAAGCUAGUAACCAGAGUGGGCUAACUCUUGACUUUAUUUACUUGUGCUGCAUUUCACUCAUUAUUGGGCAUCUUGGCUUUGUUCGGCCUAUUUAAAACUGGUUGUUAAGUUCAGAGCAUGUUAUCGGUGGCACUGAUCUCUCAAAAGGAACCUGAUGAUGACUCAAUAAAACUUGAAGAAAGGACAGCCCAAUGGAAAAAGAGACUGGCUAAAUAGGCCUUGCUUACUAGUGUAUCAUGUACCAGGUCUGCAAAUAUUUUAUUUAAACCAUCAGAGAGAAAAUAGACUUGUAUAUCUGCGGUAAGGAGUUCAAUAAAGACUGUUCCAGGAUUCUCAAUGCAAUGAGUGAC